rnacentral:rRNA from 1 species
UACGUAGGGGGCGAGCGUUGUCCGGAUUCAUUGGGCGUAAAGCGCUUUAAGGCGGUUCGCUAAGUCGGGUGUGAAACCUCCAGGCUCAACCUGGAGACGCCACUCGAUACUGGCGUGACUAGAGUCCGGUAGGGGACCACGGAAUUCCUGGUGUAGCGGUGAAAUGCGUAGAUAUCAGGAGGAACACCUGCGGUGUAGACGGCUUACUGGACCAUAACUGACGCUGAGGCACGAAAGCGUGGGUAGCAAACAGG